rnacentral:rRNA from 1 species
UUAUUGGAGAGUUUGAUCCUGGCUCAGGAUGAACGCUGGCGGCGUGCCUAAUACAUGCAAGUCGAGCGAACGGAUUAAGAGCUUGCUCUUAUGAAGUUAGCGGCGGAC